ACUCCAUUGGCUGCCAAAAUCAGAUGUUUUUUGUUUUGAAUUAAAAUUGCACAAAGUGGAUGAAAAAAUAUUGAAGUUGCAAAAAGUGCCAACGAAACGCGAAAUGUUGUCUUUAAAUAUGUCCGUAUUCGAUCCAUUCGGGUGUCUUGGUGAUUUCAUGGUGACGUCGAAGAUAAUUAUGCAAAAUGUGUGGAAAAGUUGUAUAAAGUGGGACGAGGAGUUGCCGGCCGCGAUUUAUAGCCGCUGGAUGACCUGGCUGGAGGAAUUGCCUAAAUUAAAGGAUUUCAAAGUUCCGAGGUGUUACAGUGAUUGAUUUUUUAAUGGUAUAGUAGAUUUGCAUGUGUUUGUGGAUGCCAGUGAAGAUGCAAUGGCUGCUGUGACAUACUGGCGUAUAGUAACAAAUUGUGGUGUAAGUGUUGUGUUCGUUAUGGGCAAGACGAGCUGUGCCCCAACAAGAUACCAUACUAUACCUAAGCAUGAGUUACAAGCAGCAGUAAUUGGAAUUCCUCAACAGUGAUAAGUUGGAUCCGUUCAGAACACCGUACAUACAAACAAUAUGUGGCAAAUAGAGUGUAGGAGAUUCUGGAAAGCAGCCGUAUGGAGCAGUGGCGGUGGUGUCCAGGAGCGGAUAACCCAGCUGACGAAGGGACCCGUGCUAAAGGACCCAAGAAGUACCAGCCAGAAGGACGUUGGAAAAAUGGGCCAGAAUUCCUGAGAAA